rnacentral:rRNA from 1 species
UACGUAGGGUGCGAGCGUUAAUCGGAAUUACUGGGCGUAAAGCGUGCGCAGGCGGUUCGUUGUGUCGGCGGUGAAAGCCCCGGGCUUAACCUGGGAAUGGCCGUCGAAACUGGCGAACUGGAGUGUGGCAGAGGGGGGUGGAAUUCCGCGUGUAGCAGUGAAAUGCGUAGAGAUGCGGAGGAACACCGAUGGCGAAGGCAGCCCCCUGGGCUGACACUGACGCUCAGGCACGAAAGCGUGUGGAGCAAACAGG